rnacentral:rRNA from 1 species
GACGAACGCUGGCGGCGUGCUUAACACAUGCAAGUCGAACGGAAAGGCCCUGCUUUUGCGGGGUGCUCGAGUGGCGAACGGGUGAGUAACACGUGAGUAACCUGCCCUUGACUUUGGGAUAACUUCAGGAAACUGGGGCUAAUACCGGAUAGGAGCUCCUGCUGCAUGGUGGGGGUUGGAAAGUUUCGGCGGUUGGGGAUGGACUCGCGGCUUAUCAGCUUGUUGGUGGGGUAGUGGCUUACCAAGGCUUUGACGGGUAGCCGGCCUGAGAGGGUGACCGGCGACAUUGGGAAUGAGAUACGGCACAGACACCUACGGGAGGCAGCAGUGGGGAAUAUUGCACAAUGGGCGGAAGCCUGAUGCAGCAACGCCGCGUGCGGGAUGACGGCCUUCGGGUUGUAAACCGCUUUCGCCUGUGACGAAGCGUGAGUGACGGUAAUGGGUAAAGAAGCACCGGCUAACUACGUG